ensembl:lncRNA
UCAUGCUUACUAGUGGGAUUCGUUUCCACUGCACCACAACGGGAACUCCCAAUAAUAAUAUUUUUAUUUCAACUUCUAAAAAUUACUGUAAGAAAAUCAUAAGGGCUGUACCUCGAGGACUUUUUUUCAGGAUGCUGUUAAAACUUAGCAAAAUACUGGAAAUAAUUGAAAUUGGGAAAAUGAUCAAAUAAACUAUAGUAUGACAAUACUAUGCAUUAUUAGAAAUGUGGUCUAUGAGAAUAUUUAAAGAGGGUAAAAUACAUAUGGUAAGUUAAAAUCCUAGGAUAUAAAUGUCGGGAAAAUCAUAUAUUAUACCAAAUUAUUAAUAUUAAUGAUAUUUAUUUCUGAGUGGUUAUGAGUAAUUUUAUUUUCUUCUUUGUAAUCGUCUUAAUUUUCAAAAUUACAUAUGAGCACAAAAUUGAUAUUCUAACUUGAAAAACUUAUUUGUAAAGCUGUUCGUUUUCAAAAGGGAUGUCUUUCGGAGUUCUUGUCAUGGCUCAAUGGUAACAAACCUGACUGGUUAUCCAUGAGGAUGCUGGUUUGAUCCCUGGCCUCAUUCAAUGGAUUAAGGAUCUGGCAGCAUAGGUCGCAGGUGCAGCUUAGAUACCGCAUUGCUGCGGCUGUGGCGUGAGCCAGCAGCUGCAACUCCCAUUUGACCCCUAACCUAGGAAAUUCCAUUUACUGCAAGUAUGGCCCUAAAAAGAAAAUAAAAUCUUCCCAACGCUUCAAAGCUUUGUUCAAAUCUCAUCUUCUCAGCAAGUUUUUUCCAGACCUCCUUAUUUGUUUAUUAUUUAUUUAUUUAUUGUCUUUUUAGGGCCACACACACGGCAGAUGGAGGUUCCCAGGCUAGGGGUCCAAUUGGAGCUAUAGCUGCCAGCCUACACUACAGCCACAGCAACGCCAGAUCCGAGCGUUGCUGUGACCUACACCAGAGCUCAUGGCACUGCCAGAUCCUCAACCCACUGAACAAGGCCAGGGAUCGAACCUGAAACCUCAUGGUUCCUAAUCGGAUUCGUUUCCGCUACGCCACGAUGGGAACACCCAGACCUCCUUAUUUAAAACCAUACUAGCCCAGCACUUUCUAUCUGCUAUUUUUUUUCUUGAUAGCAUGUAUCACCUUCUCAAAUGCAAUGUGCCUCUUUAUACAAACCACCUAUUGUCCCCCUCCCCCACCUACGAGAAUGUGCACUCCAAGAAGGCGUGGGUUUUUGUCUGUUCACGGAAGUAAUCCUGGGCCUUAGAACAGACCUUGGAACCAAAUACACAUGAUAUUUGUUGGAUGAGCACAAAUCUGAUGAUGCAUUUCCCUUGUCCCAGGUUUCUACCUUCAAUAGUCCCCAUUGGAGUUCCCCUUGUGGCUCAGCAGUAGUGAAUCUGACUAGCAUCCAUGAGGACAAGGGUUCAAUCCCUGACCUUGCUCAGUGGGUUAAGGAUCUGACAUUGCUAUGAGCUGUGGUGUAGGUUACAGACUUGAGUUGGAUCCCGAGUUGCUGUGGCUGUGGUGUAGGCCAGCAGCUGCAGCUCUGCUUUGACCCCUGGCCUGGGAACUUCCAUUUGCUGCUGGUGCAACCCUAAAAAGACCAAAACAAAAAAAAAGUUGCCUCUUGCUCUAAGGACAAAACUAAAACUUUUUAGGCAUUCCCUAGUGGUUCAGUGGGUUCAGUUAAGGAUCCAGUGCUGUCACUGCUGUAGCUCAGGUCACCGAUGUGGUGUGGGUUCAGCCCCUGGCCCGGGAACUUGUAUAUGCCACAGACACAGCCAAAAAAAAAAAAAAAAAAAAAAAAAAACCCAAAAUUUUUAGUAUAUUUAUACACUGAUAGCAAUUAACUCUCUGGUCUUACACAAGCCACCUUCCCCCACUGCCAUGAGUUGUUCUAAAAGAGGAACAAGUAUGACAUGAAAAAUGAGAAAUUCUUGGUUUUCUGGGUUGUGAUGAGAAAGGAAAAGAAAGGACUUAAAUAUACCAUGACUAAGGCAAUGCUGGGUGUCCCGUCUGUGUGUCAUUUAGUCUGCUCAGCAUCUCUCCCUCUCUUCCGAAGACUUGCUUCACAUGGAAAUUCCCAGGCCAGGGAUCGAAUCCAAGCCACCUCUGCCACCUAUACCACAGCUGUGACCACGCCCGAUCCUUAACCCACCGACACAAGCCAGAUGACGAACCCCUGCACCGCAGCAGGAACCCCAAGACCUGCUUCUUCUGACUAGAAAAGCUGUGCUGACUGAGGGAAAGCAUCAUAUCUGGAAUUAAAAAAGGUUAAAUGAGUGAAUUCAGGAGAAAAAUAGCAAUGGUCCGUGGAUCUUGGGGAGAAGGAAAGAGAGUGCUUCCAGAUGCUGCUGGAUUCAAAGAAAACCAGAAUCAGAAGUUAAAACGGUGCUGGCAAAUUUUCUUCCAGAACAAUUACCAUGGGGGAAAGCGAGCCCUUGGUGUAGAGUUGGCUCUGGUCCAAAUAGAUAUGGAUGUGGGAGGGGUUACAGCCAAAGGUAUAGGGUGAGGGGCAGGGCGUGGAAAAUCACCACCAGGAAACAUCCAGAAUAAGGGGGAUUCUGGCCAAUCUGACUAAAUUUAGGGUUUCUGCUAAAGGCCAGUACAGAGGAGGAAAAAGCAUUUUCCCUCCAUCCCUGAAGUUCUUGGCCGAGAUCCCUGCAACAAAAGACAGAGAAAAACAAACAGAUUUAUUAACGUGUCUCCCUCAUUUAUUCACAGGAGAUGCCAGGGACAAAUGCGUAACACCCAGAGGUGACUUUGAUUUGUGGCCGAGGAGGUCCCGUUGUGGCGCAGCGGAAACGAAUCCAACUAGGAACCAUGGGGUUGCGGGUCCAACCCUGGCCUCGCUCCAUGGGUUAAGGAUCUGGCCUCGCCAUGAGCUGUGGUGUAGGUCACAGACGCAGCUCAGAUGCUGUGCUGCUGUGGCUCUGGCCUAGGCCGGCGGCUACAGCUCUGAUUCGACCCCUAGCCUGGGAACCUCCAUAUGCCGUGGGUGCAGCCAUAAUACGACAAAAAGACAAAAAAAAACAAAAUUAAAAGAUUUGUGGCUGAAAAUGUGGCCUCUGUACAUUGGCACCAGUUCAGUCUUAGAAAUAGUUUUGAGGGAGUUCCCGUCGUGGCACAGUGGCUAACGAAUCUGACUAGAAACCAUGAGGUUGCGGGUUCGAUCCCUGGCCUUGCUCAGUGGGUUAAAGAUCCAGCGUUGCCGUGAGCUGUGGUGUAGGUGGCAGAUGCGGCUCAGAUCCCUCGUUGCUGUGGCUCUGGCGUAGGCCAGCAGCUACAGCUCCAAUUCGACCCCUAGCCUGGGAACCUCCAUAUGCCGCAGGAGCGGCCCUAGAAAAGGCAAAAAAAAAGAAAUAGUUUUGAGGAAGAGAAAGAACAGCUUUAUUGCUCUGCCAGGCAGAGGAGGACGCAGCAGGCUAGCACCUCAAAAGUAUGCCCUGACUUGAGAGGGGAUGGCAAGGGGUGUUACAGGUACAGCUCAGAAGACGGGGUGGCUGGUUAAGGUGUCUGUGUUACUCUUCACCCACAGACCGUUUCAGAGUCGUCCAGGCCGUGAUGGUUUCUGGUUGUCUUCAGGGUUCUCCUUCCUUGACCUGCUCUCUGGAAUGAAGACUGCUCACAGGCAGGGGGUGUCAGGCAGUGUUUCAGUUACAAGAGAAAACACGAGGUGCACCAGGACUCUACCUGGAAAGUAACCAUGAGUAAAAGAAAGUGAUUAAACAGGGAAGAGAUCAUUUGUGAAAAGCCAGACACUAGCAGUAAUAGAACGCUAACUAGGAAGUAACCAUUAGUAAUAAGUUAGUGGCCCAGGCAGGGCAGAAGAACAUCGUGGAGAGUGUUUUAACUAGUUUACAGUUACUAAUCAUUGACUCUUGAGUCAGCCUUUUGAGACUGAGGGGAGGCCUGGGAGGCUAAAGGAAAGGCCUUUGACUUCAAAACACAAAGAUUAAGGGUCUGGUACAGAGUUUGAGAAUUAAAUGCCACCUUAACAGGGAAGGGGGAGUGGGGGAGAGAGUUUUGGGAGGAAAAAUCAUGGUAAGCGAGGGCCUGGUUUGUGGUGCUGAUUUAAGUCAGUGCUUUCUCCAUUGAUCAGUCUCUCUUGGGAAUUUGUUUUCAGCUAUAUUGAGGUAUAAAUGAGAAACUGCUAACGUGUAUUCAACCAAGGAGUUGUACCCGUAUACUGCAAAGGGACUCCCAUCAAGGUAAUUAACUCACCUGUCACUUCAUGAGUUGUCCUCCCGAAAGGCACCAUUUAAGUUCUGCACACACUCUCUCUCUCUCUCUUUUUUUUUUUUUUUUUUUUUUUUUUGGUCUUUUUAAGACUAUACCUGUGGCAUAUGGAAGUUCCGAGGCUAGAGGUUGAAUCAGAGCCGCAGCAGCCAGCCUAUACCAUAGCCCCAGCAACGCCAGAUCCGAGGCAUGUCUGCAACCUACACCAUAGUUCACGACAAUGUCAGAUCCUUAACCCACUGUGCGAGACCAGGGAUGGAACCUGCAUCCUUAAGGAUACUAGUCAGGUUCUUAACCCCCGAGCCACAGUGGGAACUCAACCACAGUCACGACUGAAAAUUUGUGGCCUCUUCCAACCUCUUCCUCUUACCCCCUCCCCCAGCCCCUGGCACUUUUCUACUUUCUGUUUCUUUUUACAGAGCCAUGGUUCAUCAAGUUAACAUAAAUUACAGACAGUUUAAAGAGAAAAGGGGAAAACAAUUUCCCUAAAUCUGGAAAACAAAACCAUAAAGAACCCGCAACACCCUCUGAAGUUAGAAAAACACACGUCGAUACUAUAUGUAUAAAGACAUAGAAAAACCUAUAGACAGAUGCAGAGAUCUUACAGCUUUCAUUUUCAUAUUUUGGCCAGGAGGCAGGUAAGAUAAUACAAAAGUCCCUGGUUGAUAAAAGAACAGCGGGAUCCAAUUUGUGUUUCUAGUAGAUGGACUGUGCUUAGGUUACCUGCUUAGACGGCCAAAGCUUUUCACUAAUAUUUGUGCAGAAGAUUUUGUCAAGUGACAAAAAUUCCCUUUAGGAAGGAGCGUGAUGUCCUUACAGAGGUGCCUCACGAGCCGUGGCGCACUCUUGACAUUCUGGGCAAAAGCAAGUUUUACAAGUGAGAAGAGGUGACAAGGAAACAGGACGUGAUUGGCUAGGACGUCAGGAGUUUCUUUCUAAGACUCCAGAUCCCUUUUUCUCAGGUAAGGUGGGCCAGCUAAGCCAAGCUGGGUUGUUGAAACGCUGCCUCUGCUCACCGGUGCCCUGAAUAAAAAAUGCAGAGACAUAGUUUCGGGUGAAAUAGAAAAGAGUAGCUUAUAUUGCUUUGCCAGGCAAAGGAGGCCACAGCAGGCUAAUGCCCUAAAGACAGUGCCCUUUGGGAGAGAACAGGAAGGGGCCUUACCGUUUGGGAGUGGAGAAUAGGACCACAGCUAAGGACCAGGGUAGAGGCAGGUGUACAUUCUUCUUCAAGGCUAGUGGUCCUUGGAGUUCCCGUUGUGGCACAGCGGUUAACAAAUCCGACUAGGAACCAUGAGGUUGCGGGGUCAAUCCCUGGCCUUGCUCAGUGGGUUAAGGAUCCGGUGUUGCCGUGAGCUGUGGUGUGGGUCACAGACGCGGCUUGGAUCCCUCGUUGCUGUGGCUCUGGCAUAGGCUGGAGGCUACGGCUCCGAUUUGACCCCUAGCCUGGGAACCUCCAUACGUCGCAGGAGGGGCCCAAGAAAUGGCAAAAAGACCAAAAAAAAAAAAAAAAAAAA